rnacentral:rRNA from 1 species
CCUACGGGGGGCAGCAGUAGGGAAUAUUGCUCAAUGGGGGAAACCCUGAAGCAGCAACGCCGCGUGGAGGAUGAAGGUUUUCGGAUUGUAAACUCCUUUUGUUAGAGAAGAAAAUGAGGGUAUGUAACGAAUAAGCACCGGGUAAACACGUGCCAGCAGCCGCGGUAAAGCGGAGGGUGCAAGCGUUACUCGGAAGCACUGGGCGUAAAGAGCGCGUAGGCGGGAUAGCUAGUCAGAUGUGAAAUCCUAUGGCUUAACCAUAGAACUGCAUUUGAAACUGUUAGUCUAGAGUAGGGGAGAGGUAGGUGGAAUGCUUGGUGUAGCGGUAAAAUGCAUAGAGAUCGAGAGGAAUACUCAUUGCGAAGGCGACCUGCUGGCACAUAACUGACGCUGAGGCGCGAAAGCGUGGGGAGCGAACAGGAUUAGAUACCCUAGUAGUC